UCCUGGCUCAGGAUGAACGCUGGCGGCGUGCUUAACACAUGCAAGUCGAACGAUUGAAGCUGGAGCUUGCUCCGGCCGAUUUAGUGGCGGACGGGUGAGUAACGCGUGGGUAACCUGCCUCAUACAGGGGGAUAGCAGUUGGAAACGACUGGUAAAACCGCAUAAGCGCACGGUGUCGCAUGACACAGUGUGAAAACACUCCGGUGGUAUGAGAUGGACCCGCGUCUGAUUAGCUAGUUGGUGAGGUAACGGCCCACCAAGGCGACGAUCAGUAGCCGGCCUGAGAGGGUGAACGGCCACAUUGGGACUGAGACACGGCCCAAACUCCUACGGGAGGCAGCAGUGGGGAAUAUUGCACAAUGGGGGAAACCCUGAUGCAGCGACGCCGCGUGAGUGAUGAAGUAUUUCGGUAUGUAAAGCUCUAUCAGCAGGGAAGAUAAUGACGGUACCUGACUAAGAAGCACCGGCUAAAUACGUGCCAGCAGCCGCGGUAAUACGUAUGGUGCAAGCGUUAUCCGGAUUUACUGGGUGUAAAGGGUGCGUAGGUGGCAAGGCAAGUCUGAAGUGAAAAUCCGGGGCUCAACCCCGGAACUGCUUUGGAAACUGUUUAGCUAGAGUACAGGAGAGGUAAGUGGAAUUCCUAGUGUAGCGGUGAAAUGCGUAGAUAUUAGGAGGAACACCAGUGGCGAAGGCGACUUACUGGACUGCUACUGACACUGAGGCACGAAAGCGUGGGGAGCAAACAGGAUUAGAUACCCUGGUAGUCCACGCCGUAAACG
rnacentral:rRNA from 1 species